rnacentral:rRNA from 1 species
UACGUAGGGUGCGAGCGUUGUCCGGAAUUACUGGGCGUAAAGAGCUCGUAGGUGGUUUGUCGCGUUGUCCGUGAAAACUCACAGCUUAACUGUGGGCGUGCGGGCGAUACGGGCAGACUGGAGUACUGCAGGGGAGACUGGAAUUCCUGGUGUAGCGGUGGAAUGCGCAGAUAUCAGGAGGAACACCGGUGGCGUAGGCGGGUCUCUGGGCAGUAACUGACGCUGAGGAGCGAAAGCGUGGGGAGCGAACAGG